rnacentral:rRNA from 1 species
UACGAAGGGGGCUAGCGUUGCUCGGAAUCACUGGGUGUAAAGGGUUCGUAGGCGGUGCGGCAAGUCGGGAGUGAAAUCUCUGGGCUUAACCCAGAGGCUGCUUCCGAAACUGCUGUGCUUGAGUAUGGGAGAGGCGCGUGGAAUUGCAGGUGUAGCGGUGAAAUGCGUAGAUAUCUGCAGGAACACCCGUGGCGAAAGCGGCGCGCUGGACCACUACUGACGCUGAGGAACGAAAGCUAGGGGAGCAAACAGG